rnacentral:rRNA from 1 species
UGACUUAAGCAUAUCAAUAAGCGGAGGAAAAGAAACCAACAGGGNAUUGCCCUAGUAACGGCGAGUGAAGCGGCAACAGCUCAAAUUUGAAAUCUGGCCCCUUUGGGGUCCGAGUUGUAAUUUGCAGAGGGUGCUUUGGCGUUGGCGGCGGUCUAAGUUCCUUGGAACAGGACAUCGCAGAGGGUGAGAAUCCCGUAUGUGGUCGCAUGCCUUCGCCGUGUAAAGCCCCUUCGACGAGUCGAGUUGUUUGGGAAUGCAGCUCUAAAUGGGAGGUAAAUUUCUUCUAAAGCUAAAUACCGGCCAGAGACCGAUAGCGCACAAGUAGAGUGAUCGAAAGAUGAAAAGCACUUUGGAAAGAGAGUCAAACAGCACGUGAAAUUGUUGAAAGGGAAGCGCUUGCAGCCAGACUUGCCUGUAGUUGCUCACCCGGGCUCCUGCCCGGGGCACUCUUCUGCAGGCAGGCCAGCAUCAGUUUGGGCGGUCGGAUAAAGGGCUCUGACACGUACUUCCCCUCGGGGUUGACAUACAGGGGAGCCGCAAUGCGACCAGCCCGGACUGAGGUCCGCGCAUCUGCUAGGAUGCUGGCGUAAUGGCUGUAAGCGGCCCGUCUUGAAACACGGACCAAGGAGUCUAACAUCUAUGCGAGUGUUUGGGUGUCAAGCCCGAGCGCGCAAUGAAAGUGAACGGAGGUGGGAGCCCCUCGGGGUGCACCAUCGACCGAUCCUGAUGUCUUCGGAUGGAUUUGAGUAAGAGCAUAGCUGUUGGGACCCGAAAGAUGGUGAACUAUGCUUGAAUAGGGUGAAGCCAGAGGAAACUCUGGUGGAGGCUCGCAGCGGUUCUGACGUGCAAAUCGAUCGUCAAAUUUGGGCAUAGGGGCGAAAGACUAAUCGAACUAUCUAGUAGCUGGUUCCUGCCGAAGUUUCCCCUCAGGGAUA